rnacentral:misc_RNA from 1 species
AAGGAAUUAAAUCCUGGAAGCCACACUCUCCUCCACACCCCUUAUUAUCUUGGCUGCCUACUUUUUACAAUUAUGUUAAGUGGAAUGUUGAUGCUUUGGCUCUUCGUAAACCUGUGCCUGCGGGUUUAGGUGGAGUUCUUAGAAACUCUCUGGGUCAUUAUUUUUGUAUCAUUUUAGGUCCAUGCGGAAUUCGGGAUUCAAAUGAAGCAAAAGUUCUGGCCAUUUUGAAAGCACUUCAAUUAUCUGUUGCUCAUUUUUGAAAGUUGUUGAUGGAAUAAUAAUUGAAUCAGAUUCAUCAAAAGCAAUUUU